AGCCUCUCGGACGUGAAGGAAAAGAAUUGGUUGGCUCCAAAGUUGCACCUCUUUAUCCAUGUUUCAACGCCCGUAGCUCUUACCAACGAUACUCCACUAUCUAUCCCUAAAGAAAGCUUUAUUAAGCGGAGGAAGAAGAAAAAACAAUGGUGUCAUCCUUACUUUCGCCUUUCCCCAACGUCAUUUCACAGCUUAACCUCGUCUCUCGCUCCUCUCCUCCUUUCUUUACCAGGGCCCAAAUGUCAUCCGAAUCGCUUCCACCACUUCCUGAACAUCGCAUCGUCCUAGGGUGUGGGUCUGUCGGAGUGGAUUUCUUGGCCUCCGUCUCUUCUUAUCCUAAACCUGAUGACAAAAUCCGAAGCACUAGCUUAAAGGUUCAGGGAGGUGGGAAUGCUGGAAAUGCCUUAACUUGUGUUGCUCGUUUAGGAUUAAAUCCACGACUAAUUUCUAAGGUUGCCAAUGAUGCCCAAGGCAAGAGUAUAUUGGAGGAGCUUGAAUCUGAUGGAGUCGACACUUCAUUCUUUAUUGUUUCUGAGGAGGGGAAUUCGCCAUUUACUUAUAUAAUUGUUGACAACGAAACGAAAACUCGCACCUGUAUUCACACCCCUGGUUAUCCACCCUUGAUACCAGAUGAACUCUCACAGUCCCAAUUAUUAUCUGCUUUGGAUGGAGCAAAUAUGGUCUAUUUUGAUGGAAGACUGUACGAAACUGCUUUAAUUAUUGCAAAAGAGGCAGCUUGCAAAAAUAUUCCAAUAUUAGUCGAUGCAGAAAGGGAAAGGGAAGGUUUAGAUGAUCUUCUGAAUUUUGCUAGUUAUGCUAUAUGCUCAGCAAGAUUUCCGCAGGCGUGGACAAAGGCUCCAUCUCUUCCAAGUGCACUUCUUUCUAUGCUUCUGAGAUUGCCAAACUUAAAAUUUGUGAUUGUGACACUGGGUGAAGAUGGAUGCAUAAUGCUCGAAAGAAGUGUAAAUGGUGGUUCCGAUGCUGAAGAAAUUGAUAUUCACGGUUUAUUGGAAUCACUAAAGCAGAGAAAAGAUGAAAGCAAGACCAUACCAACAUGUAUCUCAUCGGUGGUUACCAAAUUGAGUGCAAAUGGGAUAGGAACAGUAUUUGGUCGGCUAUUUAUUGGAACAGCUGAAAAGAUUCCACCAUCAGAACUUGUUGACACAACCGGCGCCGGAGAUGCAUUUAUUGGAGCAGUAGUUUAUGCUCUCUGUGCGGGCAUGCCACCGGAGAAGAUGUUACCAUUUGCUGCUCAAGUGGCUGCAUCUGGCUGUAGGGCUUUGGGAGCCCGAACGGGUCUUCCACACCGAACAGAUCCACGCUUGGCGACCUUCUUGUGACAUGUCAACUAUGUUAGAGGUUAAGUAAAUUGAAACUUUGCCCUACAACCAAGAGCAUUGAUAUUGCCAUGACAGACUUCUGUCAUGGUCCCAGAGAGGAGUUAUGAAUCUCACAUUGACAGUGUACUAGAGUUUGAUUGAAGACUCACAAAGUGGGAGACACUUUAUGCGAACAAAAUUGUGAGGCUUAAAUGACCGAAUCAGAUAAUUGCUUGUAAUUUGGUGUGAAAGCUAAUUGAAAUUGGGUUUGGGUUAUUAGUGAUGAUAGUGAGGUGUCAUUGGAGUGGGGGAUGUUACGGUCUUAGACAGCAACCAUCAAUCCUCCUACCCCCAUUUGUUGGAAUUACAUUUCAUUUGCAAUAUAAAAAUAUAUUCGCAAAUAUCUGUAAGCAUUUCAAAUUUACCACAAUGCUUGGAAUGAGAAGGAAAGGAUUAAAUUUA